CAUAAUCAAUAAUCUCAUCGAAGCAUAAGGAUCCAAAUCGUCUCAGAGACAUGGCAACCCAAAAGCUUGCUACAAUAUCAAUUGUUGUUUUGAUGAUAUUCGCAUGUAUUGCAUCAACAACAAAAGGAGACGUUUUGAAUGUGCAUUGUGUUCGACCAUGCUCUGAUACUUAUGACGACGAGUCGUGUUAUAAUGAUUGCAUUCAAGAGAAUCUUGGUGCUGGAUUUUGUUACCCGAAACUACCUAGCACCGAUAAAGAUUGUUGUUGCAAUGUUUGACAAUAAUUGAUUGCGUAACAUUUUAUUGAAACUUAUAAAUAAAAUUUAAUAUUUUACAA